rnacentral:sRNA from 1 species
UCAUGGCGGACGUCAUUCGCUGACAUU